UCAGUUGGCUAUUUCAGUUUCUUUCUACUUCUCAGUUCUUUAUAUCAGUUCUAACUGACGGCCCAUAGCAUUUACACACAUUAAAAAAAAAAUAACAUGAAUAUGAUUUUUGUCAUCGCUUCUGUUGUGGCCGUAGUUGCUGGGCAAGUACCUUAUCAAAAGCCAACAGAUUACGUUCCUUACCAAUUAUUGAAUGACUACAAGCCGAGUUAUCCAGCACCGAAUUACAAACUUACAUCUCCCAAAUCCUACAAGCCUGCUGCGUAUCAUGUAUACAAACCGACGUACAAUGAACCAACUUAUAAGCCUUACCAUCCUGAGCCAUCAUACAAACCCUAUUACCCACCCAAAUACACACCGUACUCAUAUUCCGUCAAAUAUUGAUGAGUAGGCCUACGAAGUUUCAUUCAACAAAAAGAUUAAUUUGUGUAAUAUAGAUGAUUAUUAUCACUGUUUCAAAUAAACGUUUGUUUCCGUACCAGA